rnacentral:rRNA from 1 species
UAAUACGUAGGCAGCGAGCGUUGUUCGGAAUUACUGGGCGUAAAGAGUGUGUAGGCGGUGUUCCCAGUCUGUUGUGAAAUCUCCCGGCUUAACUGGGAGGGUGCAGCGGAAACUAGAAUGCUAGAGGGUGGGAGAGGUAAGCGGAAUUCCUGGUGUAGCGGUGAAAUGCGUAGAUAUCAGGAGGAACACCUGUGGUGUAGACAGCUUACUGGACCACUUCUGACGCUGAGACACGAAAGCGUGGGUAGCAAACAGGAUUAGAUACCCUGGUAGUCCACGCCCUAAACGAUGCAUACUUGGUGUGAGCGAUUCAUUUCGUUCGUGCCGGAGCUAACGCGUUAAGUAUGCCGCCUGGGGAGUACGGUCGCAAGGCUG